UGAGGAAUAUUGGUCAAUGGGCGAGAGCCUGAACCAGCCAAGUCGCGUGAAGGAAGACUGCCUUAUGGGUUGUAAACUUCUUUUAUACAGGAAUAAAAAGGCUUACGUGUAGGCCAUUGCAAGUACUGUAUGAAUAAGCAUCGGCUAACUCCGUGCCAGCAGCCGCGGUAAUACGGAGGAUGCGAGCGUUAUCCGGAUUUAUUGGGUUUAAAGGGUGCGCAGGCGGGCUUUUAAGUCAGCGGUGAAAUCUGGACGCUUAACGUCCAAACUGCCGUUGAAACUGGGAGUCUUGAGUAUGGAUGAAGUAGGCGGAAUUCGUUGUGUAGCGGUGACAUGCAUAGAUAUAACGAGGAACUCCGAUUGCGUAGGCAGCUUACUAAGCCAUAACUGACGCUCAUGCACGAAAGCGUGGGGAUCAAACAGGAUUAGAUACCAUGGUAGUCCACGCCGUAAAACGAUGAUUACUAGUUGUAUGCGAUAUGAUAGUAUGUGACUAAGCGAAAGCGAUAAGUAAUCCACCUGGGGAGUACGCCGGCAACGGUGAAACUCAAAGGAAUUGACGGGGGUCAUAGCUG
rnacentral:rRNA from 1 species